AAAAAACAAUUAUUAAAUGUCAGUGGCAGCCACUGUAAAUAAGUCCCAACUUCAGGAUUUAUUUCACAAAGUGGUUGCAAAAAUGUAUAUGUAUGUAUAUUUCUGAUAUGGUUCAAAUUACGUAGAACUACUCUCUCAAAUAAGAGAUCAAUUGCAGUAUUUUAGGAUCGAAUUCACGGAGUUCUUUUGUUCAAACAGUGAAUUAAAUGUCGAGAUUAAGCUAGCAGGGUAUGAGUGAAAUAGUAAGAAAACAACAAGAUGAUUGUGUUGUGAACGAUUUAAUAAAGAGGUAGGAACAGGGUAU
rnacentral:sRNA from 1 species